GUUUGAUCCAGGAAGGGAGGCUAGAACGCGCGGCCAGAGCGGAAGAGCAGUUCUGAAAGGCCAGUGGGAACAGGUUCAAAUUAACCCAAUGACGUAAAAGGACUGAUAGAUCAAGUGAACAUAACCCUCUGGGUUAGGAAUGAGAAAGACGGGGGUUGAGUGGCAGGGGAGGAAGGGUGUGAAAAGUAUAAAGAACAAAGACCCAGUGAGGGACACAGUAAGCUGAAGGUCAGUUUAGGGGGGCACAUUGCCAGGAGGAACACAAGUCGGCAUCCAAAGCCAUCUCGCCGUGGGCCGGGGCAGGUUCCUGUACAAUAAAGGGUAAAGGUCUGCAGCCACAUGGGGCAGCACAUUCAGGACUUCGUCUCCCACUGCUCAGGUUCUUAGGCAUGGACAGAACAACGUGUGAAUGAAGGCUUUUACUCUGCAGGAUUGUGAGCGCCUGGAAGUCAGGGACUGUGUCUCACUCCUGUUAACAGAAUCUAGCACAGAGCUUUGCACAUAUAUUAUUUUUUCCAUAGGAAACCAGGUGAAAAAUUCAGUUCAUGUUAUUGGCUUUUAAUAAGACUGAAUGCUUCUGCAGGCUUCCUUGGCAGUUUGCUCUGGCAAGAGCCGACACGCUUCCAUUGCGUUGAUAGAGGUUCUGAAGGCUCCGGGAAGAAGCACAGCCGGCGUGUGUGUGGAAGUCGGGAGAGGGCAGCGGGGUGCACCUGGUCCUCACAAAGCCUGUGACUGUGACAGCACCCAGCAUUUCUCGGGGGGGGGGCCGAGUGGGGGACCCAGUGAUAGAGACGGGGACAUGUUCUCACCAUGCAGCUGUGCACCUGGAUGUGGGGUGCAGGAAGGUUAGCUGAGGCUGCCCAGCUGAGCUGCAUGCUUAACAUUAUUAAAUUCUCUAAUGAGUAUAUUCGAUUUACCAAUAGGUGCACAGAAAGGAGGUACCCAGUGGGUUUCUAGCCUAAGUUUCCCCUCCUCUGGCCCUCUUGUACAGCCAAAAGAACUCCCCUGCCCCCCUCCAUCGUCGUCCUGCCUGUAAGAGAAAUGGGUUUGUCCAAGCAAGGAUGAGAUUCACAGGCGAGGUUAAGGGAAGAGGAUGAGUAUUUUAAUAUAUCUUUUCCCUUUACUGACGGAAUGAGGUUAUCAAAGGACAAAAGCAGGGAUUUCCCUGGUGGCGCAGUGGUUGAGAAUCCGCCUGCCAAUGCAGAGGACACGUGUCCAAGCCCUGGUCCGGGAAGAUCCCACACGCCGUGGAGCAACUAAGCCCAUGUACCACAACUACUGAGAUUGUGCUCUAGAGCCCGCAAGCCACAACUACUGAGGCCUCAUGCCUAGAGCCCAUGCUCCACAACAAGGGAAGCCACCGCAAUGAGAAGCUCGCGCGCAGCAACGAAGACCCAACCAAC